rnacentral:rRNA from 1 species
AUGAAUUUUAAGAAACUUGAUCAUGAACAUGUUGCACAAGCUUGGGAGAGGAUGAAAUUAAUGAUACGUAAUUUCCCAACACAUGGUUUAAAUUUGUGGAUGGUUAUACAAAAAAUUUAUGCCGGAUUGAAUUUUCCUUCUAGAAAUCUUUUAGAUUCGGCCGCGGGAGGCACUUUUAUGGAAAUCACUUUAGGAGAAGCUACUAAACUCCUAGAUAAUAUUAUGGUUAAUUAUUCUCAAUGGCACACUGAAAGAUCUACUAAUAAGAAAGUGCAUGCGAUAGAAGAAAUUAAUGUUUUG